UGGAUAAUGUGUUUUAAAGUGGUUUUUUUCUUAUAGUGAAGAUAUUUGUUUAUAAAUAUCCUGGAGAAAUAUAUUAGUUUUCUGCAUACUCUUUGCAAGUAAAGGGGUGCAUAGUUUGACUACUGACAUUU